UACAGAGGGAGCAAGCGUUGUUCGGAAUUACUGGGCUUAAAGGGCGCGUAGGCGGUUCGAUAAGUCCCGUGUGAAAUCCCUCGGCUCAACUGAGGAAUUGCACGGGAAACUGACGGGCUUGAGUUCGGGAGAGGGAAGCGGAAUUCCGGGUGUAGCGGUGAAAUGCGUAGAUAUCCGGAGGAACACCAGUGGCGAAGGCGGCUCACUGGUCCAUUACUGACGCUGAGGUGCGAAGGCGUGGGGAGCAAACAGG
rnacentral:rRNA from 1 species